AAACUGGAAUUGGCAAUCCUGAACAGCGGACAAUAUCGUGGUGGAAAAAUAAUCUAGACACAUCCUUUCGGAUUUAUCGUUCUGCUAAUUGGAUGACAGUCACUGAAUCGAACAAAAGUCGUCACGUACCGGUGCACCGUUGUCGCACAAAGUACGAGCCACCGUGACAGAAUUUUGAAAACGCCCACGCGAAUCGAAGCGGUGCGCUCUCGAGCGACACGUUGCGCGUUCACCUCGACGAAAUCGCUGAUUUCAUACUACCAAGUACAGAUUACAUUUUGGAGAUAAUUUAAAGUCACAAGUCGAUCGGAUAAUUUCAAAGGAGAAUUCGUAAGUGCAAAUAUCGAACGAUCAUUCGCGUGGCUGAUCUAGAAAGCGCGAGAGAAGGCAAUGCUUUCGGCUAGUUUACUCCGCCGCCGCGUCGCAUUCCCAGCAUCCCGUUAGGAGUAUCGUAACG
rnacentral:misc_RNA from 1 species